GACGAACCGUGCGAACGUUGUUCGGAAUCACUGGGCUUAAAGGGCGCGUAGGCGGAUCAUCAAGUCCGGGGUGAAAUCUUUCGGCUUAACCGGAAAACAGCCUUGGAUACUGGUGGUCUCGAGUGAGGUAGGGGCCGUUGGAACUUCCGGUGGAGCGGUGAAAUGCGUUGAUAUCGGAAGGAACGCCGGUGGCGAAAGCGAACGGCUGGACCUCUUCUGACGCUGAGGCGCGAAAGCCAGGGGAGCAAACGGG
rnacentral:rRNA from 1 species